UGGCUUAGUUGGUAGAGCAUGGUGUUUGCAACGCCAGGAUUGUGGGUUCAAUUCCCAC
rnacentral:tRNA from 1 species